GCCAGCAGCCAUGUCACCCUGCAACUCACAACUGGCAACCCACUGAAGCUAAGCAGGUAUGAGCCUGGUCAGUACCUGGAUGGGAGACCUCCUGGGAAAAACUAAGGUUGCUGCUGGAA
ensembl:rRNA 5S_rRNA 5S ribosomal RNA